GUCUGGACUUCAUCUUGAUGGUACAGCUCUGUCCCACCAUGUUCCUGUCAUUGUACUGCCAUCUGCCAUGAGGACUUCACCAGAGCUGAGCUGCUGCCAGAACCAUGCAUGCCCUUGAACUCCUCAAAUUUCCCACAGGAGAUUUUGAGACAGACACAUUCAAAUUUGAGAAUUAAUAUACUGCCCCCUGUACUUUAUCCUGCUCU